rnacentral:lncRNA from 1 species
CAGGGGGACGGAGCGGGGGAGAUGCUUACAUGCUGCUCUCAGUAGAAGGCCACCCAGGAGACCCAUGGCCAGCGGUUCCUCCAGGCCCUGGGGGAGAGGCCCCCUUAACGGCAGCACCCAGCCUCACCCGGGGGCUUUUCUGGAGGAUUUGCUGAAGCCCAGGAAGAUGAAUGGACACGGUGAAGGGCAGCAGCAGCGACCGUGGAAUCCAAGUGGCUGGUGUCCAACCAAAAAUGAUUUCCCCCACCAUUCUCCUAGCUGGCUCCCCAUUCUGAGCAUGAGAUGGCAGCUGACCCCCGUCCAAUCAGGUCCUCUCAAUUCUUUGCUCUUACAGCAUUCUGGUCAUUUUCUUCUAAUUUGGCCUGUUCCUUAUGUGCCCCUCGUACAAGACAGUAAGUUCUAAAUAGGGGCCCUGCCUGUCUUGCUCACCUUUGUAUCUCCAGCACGGGGCAUAGGCCUGAAACUUAGUAAAGGGUUCCACAAACAUAGGUUGAAGGAUGAUGCCUGGGUGAAUCUAGUUGUCAGAAUAACUUACCCAUGAAUGAGGGAAUAAUAGAAGACGGUAUAAAAGGAGGUGUGAUAUGGGGACAUUUUCAAGACCUGGAGUUGUCCUGAAUGACAUUGCAGGGACAGAUGCAGGACACUCUAUAUCCUGCCACAACCCACUGAACAGACUGGGAGAGAGCGUAAACUACAGCAUAAACUAUAAUCCAAGCGGUGCAGCAGUGCUCCAAAAUGCACUCAUCAAAUGCAAUGAACGUACCACACUAAUGAAA